UUCCGGUUGAUCCUGCCGGACCCGAUCGCUAUCGGGGUGGGGCUAAGCCAUGGGAUUCGCACGCCCCGGUAACCGGGGCGUGGCGAACGGCUGAGUAACACGUGGCUAACCUACCCUCGGGACGGGGAUAGUCCCGGGAAACUGGGAGCAAUCCCCGAUAGGUGGAGAUUCCUGGAAGGGUUCUCCACCGAAAGGGUGUUGCGGGGAUGUCCGCAACGCCGCCCGAAGAUUGGGCCACGGGCCAUCAAGUUGUUGGCGGGUAAGGCCCGCCAGCCUAUAACGGGUAGGGCCGUGAGAGCGGGAGCCCCCAGAUGGGCCCUGAGACAAGGGCCCAGGCCCUACGGGGUGCACCAGGCGCGAAAACUCCGCAAUGCGGGAAACCGUGACGGGGCCACCCCGAGUGCCCCGAAGAGGGGCUUUUCCCCGCUGUAAGGAAGCGGGGGAAUAAGCGGGGGGCAAGUCUGGUGUCAGCCGCGCGGUAAUACCAGCCCCGCGAGUGAUCGGGACGUUUACUGGGCCUAAAGCGCCCGUAGCCGGCCCGGUAAGUCCUCCCUUAAAGCCCCGGGCAUAACCCGGGGACGGGGAGGAUACUGCCGGGCUAGGGGGCGGGAGAGGCCGAGGGUACUCCCGGGGUAGGGGCGAAAUCCGUUAAUCCCGGGAGGACCACCAGUGGCGAAGGCGCUCGGCUGGAACGCGCCCGACGGUGAGGGGCGAAAGCCGGGGGAGCGAACCGGAUUAGAUACCCGGGUAGUCCCGGCUGUAAACGAUGCGGACUAGGUGUUGGGCAGGUCUUAGAGCCUGCCCAGUGCCGCAGGGAAGCCGUUAGUCCGCCGCCUGAAGAGUACGGCCGCAAGGCUGAAACUUAAAGGAAUUGGCGGGGGACACCACAAUGGGUGGAGCCUGCGGCUCAAUUGGAGUCAACGCCAGGAAUCUCACCGGGGGCGACAGCAGAUGAUGCCAAGCUAACGACUUGCCUGACGCGCUAGAGAGGAUGUGCAUGGCCGUCGCCAGCUCGUGUCAAUGACAUGUCCGGUUAAUCUCCGGCAACGAGCGAGACCCCUGCCCCUAGUUGCGAUCCAUGCCCUUCGGGGCUGUAGCACACUAGGGGACUGCCGGCGUUAACCGGAG
rnacentral:rRNA from 1 species